GAUGAACGCUGGCGGCGUGCCUAAUACAUGCAAGUCGAGCGAAUGGAUUGAGAGCUUGCUCUUAUGAAGUUAGCGGCGGACGGGUGAGUAACACGUGGGUAACCUGCCCAUAAGACUGGGAUAACUCCGGGAAACCGGGGCUAAUACCGGAUAACAUUUUGAACCGCAUGGCAUGAAAUUGAAAGGCGGCUUCGGCUGUCACUUAUGGAUUGACCUGCGUCGCAUUAGCGAGUUGGUGAGGUAACGGCUCCCCAAGGCAACGAUGCGUAGCCGACCGGAGAGGGUGAUCGGCCGCCCUGGGACUGAGACACGGCCCAGACUCCUACGGGAGGCAGCAGUAGGGAAUCUUCCGCAAUGGACGAAAGUCUGACGGAGCAACGCCGCGUGAGUGAUGAAGGCUUUCGGGUCGUAAAACUCUGUUGUUAGGGAAGAACAAGUGCUAGUUGAAUAAGCUGGCACCUUGACGGUACCUAACCAGAAAGCCACGGCUAACUACGUGCCAGCAGCCGCCGUAA
rnacentral:rRNA from 1 species